rnacentral:misc_RNA from 1 species
GUGAGUCAUCGAAUCUUUGAACGCACAUUGCGCCCUCCGGUAUUCCGGAGGGCAUGCCUGUUCGAGCGUCAUUAACAACCCUCAAGCCCCCGGCUUGGUAUUGGGCGUCGCCGGUCACGGCGUGCCUUAAAAUCAGUGGCGGUGCCAUCUGGCUCUAAGCGUAGUAACACUCUCGCUCUGGGUGCCCGGUGGUCGCUGGCCAGCAACCCCAUCUUCUAAGGUUGACCUCGGAUCAGGUAGGGAUACCCGCUGAACUUAAGCAUAUCAAUAAGCGGAGGA